GAGCUAGCAGCAGCAACCCGGUCAGGUCCCCUUUUGUGCUGUGGAAGCUUUGUUCUUUCUCUGUUUGCAAUAAAUCUUACUGCUGCUCACUCUUUGGGUCUACGCCGCCUUUAUGAGCUAUAACACUCACCGUGAAGGUCUGCAUCUUCACUCCUGAAGCCAGUGAGACUACGAACAAACGCAUUGGGAGGGACGAACAAACGCAUUGGGAGGGACCAACAACUCCGGACAUGAGGAACAAACAACUCCAGAUGCGCUGUCUUUAAGAGCUGUAACACUCACAGCAAAGGUCUGCGCCUCACUUCUUAAGUCAGUGAGACCACAAACCCACCAGAAGGAAGAAACUCCGGACGCAUCUGAACAUCUGAAAGCACAAACUCUGGACACACCAUCUUUAAGAACUGUAACACUCACCGCGAGGGUCCGCAGCUUCAUUCUGGAAGUCAGCAAGACCAAGAACCCAUUAUUCCGGACACAAAGGGGCAGCUGCUGUAGCUGUGUCACCUGACAAGCAACCAGCGCCCCCGCUGCACAAAGCAGCAGCAGCAGCAGUUUCAGCACAGCCCAGAAACGAGUGUGCUUCCGGGGGAGUGGCUUGCAGGGGCAGGAUUCGGACUUAGAUUUGGGGGCCUAAUUUGUUUCCUUGUUCCAGGGAGAAGAUGUCCAUCUAUAAGAAAGUGGUCCCUCAGCAGACACUGAAUCUGCUGGUGUCCUGAUCUUGAAUAUACCAGCCUCCAGAACUGUGCAAGUCAUCCCUGAGGAAGUAGUGACCAGCUGUGGAUGCUACGCUGAGGCCCUUCUUUAAGAGUGAUCUGAUGGCACUGGAUGUCUGCUGAGGCUUGUGUCUAGAAGGAAUGAAAGGAUGUGCCAACAACAGCAGUUGUCUCCUCGUUUUCAAAGCUCAGGCCUCAUGAUGGCUCUGUGGCCCAGGCUGGAGUGAAGUGGCACCAUCUCAGCUCACCGUAACCUCUGCCCCACAGGUUCAAGUGAUUCUCUUGCCUCAGCCUCCUGAAUAGCUGAGAUUACAG
rnacentral:lncRNA from 10 species